CGGNCUUGCCGGNGCUUAUUCUCCCGGUACUCGUCAUUAUCAUCCCGGGUAAAAGAGCUUUACGACCCUAAGGCCUUCAUCACUCACGCGGCAUUGCUGGAUCAGGCUUGCGCCCAUUGUCCAAUAUUCCCCACUGCUGCCUCCCGUAG
rnacentral:rRNA from 1 species